UAUUUCUUGUAAUUUGGAAAAAUGGGAAAGUUUACAGACAUAAUGGUUUUAUUAUUUACAAUUCUACUUUUUGUUAUAUUGGGUUAAAAAUAUCUACAAACAUUACAGAAUAAUUGAAAUACUAAUGUCCCACAAGGUGACAUACUUUCUCCUAUUCCGUAGACCAAUUGAUUGCAUGCAAUACACUAGUGGCAAAGUAUGUAGAAAACAAGGUAAUAGUAAUAACUAGCAUGGACUUAUAGCUUUCACCAACACACAAAAUCUUUUAUUAAUGGAAAACUGGUAUAAAUCAAUCAACAAAAUUGGCCCAUAAGAUGUUUCCCAUAAACCUAGCACAAUAUCCUAACUUACUAUAGUACACUAAUUCCAACCCUUACUGUUUAACAUCUCAGUUUAAUUCUUGACUGUAGUCUCAACAUAUCAAAGGCAAACUACCGUAAGUCUUACCUACAACUGUUUAAAUCACUAAUAGCAAACAAAUAGAUUUGGACAUUAUUUUUUUUUUCACCAUAGUCAUAUCACAUUGAUAGUGAAUUUUGUUUCUUAAUUUAAAAAAAAUAUACAUAUUUUUUAUUA